GUGACAACGAGCGCGGACACCCCGGAGGACGUCGCGGAGGACAUCGAAGAGCUCCUGACCUGGAUCGACGAGGAAGUGACGGCCAACACAGGCAUCCUGGACGACACCGCAGACAUGGAUGAGCAGCCCGCGUGGAUCAACAACGAAGAGAGACCCAGCACCAGCAGUCUUGCUGACGAUCUGCAAAUUGACCACUUCCUCACCUGCAUUGAUGGUGAGUUGGUGGUCUGCACACAGGACGGGUGGGUGUCCGCACCGAGCUGGGGGGAGGAA